CAACCUAGAAAAGUUUGGGUAGUUUCUGCUUCGAUUAUAGAAACAACAUGGAACCAGAACCAGGGAAGUGCAGAAGAACGGAUGGAAAGAAAUGGAGGUCCACCAAG